UAGCCUUGCGGUCUUCGAGGUUCUCCAUGGUUGCCAUGGAGCUAAGAGGGAACACGGCAAACCGUGGCUGCCCCCGCAACUGUAAGCAGCGAGUGCGUCGCCAAUCGCCACUGGGAGACCGGGAAGGCCGGCCGCGCGCCAUGACCUGCCAGCCAGGAGACCUGCCUCGAUAACGCUUUCGAC
rnacentral:ncRNA from 2 species